CCUACGGGAGGCAGCAGUGGGGAAUAUUGGGCAAUGGGCGCAAGCCUGACCCAGCAACGCCGCGUGAAGGAAGAAGGCUUUCGGGUUGUAAACUUCUUUUCUCAGGGACGAAGAAAGUGACGGUACCUGAGGAAUAAGCCACGGCUAACUACGUGCCAGCAGCCGCGGUAAUACGGAGGUGGCAAGCGUUAGCCGGAUUUAGUGGGUGUAAAGGGCGUGUAGGCGGGAUCGCAAGUCAGAUGUGAAAACUCAGGGCUCAACCCUGAGCCUGCAUUUGAAACUGUGUUUCUUGAGUACUGGAGAGGCAAGCGGAAUUCCGUGUGUAGCGGUGAAAUGCGUAGAUAUACGGAGGAACACCAGUGGCGAAGGCGGAUUGCUGGACAGUAACUGACGCUGAGGCGCGAAAGCGUGGGGAGCAAACAGGAUUAGAUACCCCUGUAGUC
rnacentral:rRNA from 1 species